rnacentral:misc_RNA from 1 species
GAUGAAGAACGUAGCAAAAUGCGAUACUUGGUGUGAAUUGCAGAAUCCCGUGAACCAUCGAGUUUUUGAACGCAAGUUGCGCCCGAAGCCUUUUGGCCGAGGGCACGUCUGCCUGGGCGUCACGCAUCGCGUCGCCCCCCACAAUUCUCCGUAAAGGGAACGUGUGUUUUGGGGGCGGAUAUUGGUCUCCCGUGCUCAUGGCGUGGUUGGCCGAAAUAGGAGUCCUUUCGAUGGACGCACGAACUAGUGGUGGUCGUAAAAACCCUCGUCUUUUGUUUCGUGCUGUUGCUCGCAAGGUAAACUCUUUAAAAACCCCAAUGUGUCGUCUCUUGACGACGCUUCGACCGCGACCCCAGGUCAGGCGGGACUACCCGCUGAACUUAAGCAUAUCAAUAAGCGGAGGA